GUGGCUGCUGAGUUUGCAUUAUUGCACCACAUGUGUUUUUCUUUGAAACAAACUUGCUUUGGCGGUGGGCCCAGCCUGCCGCCAGAGGUCUAAACUUACAACCAAUUUUUUAUCAACUUGUCACACCAGAUUAUUACUAAUAGUCAAAACUUUCAACAACGGAUCUCUUGGUUCUCGCAUCGAUGAAGAACGCAGCGAAAUGCGAUACGUAAUAUGAAUUGCAGAUAUUCGUGAAUCAUCGAAUCUUUGAACGCACAUUGCGCCCUCUGGUAUUCCGGAGGGCAUGCCUGUUUGAGCGUCGUUUCUCCCUCAAACCGCUGGGUUUGGUGUUGAGCAAUACGACUUGGGUUUGCUUGAAAGACGGUAGUGGUAAGGCGGGAUCGCUUUGACAAUGGCUUAGGUCUAACCAAAAACAUUGCUUGCGGCGGUAACGUCUACCACGUAUAUCUUCAAACUUUGACCUCAAAUCAGGUAGGACUACCCGCUGAACUUAAGCAUAUCAAUAAGCGGAGGAA
rnacentral:rRNA from 1 species